rnacentral:sRNA from 1 species
AUAGGACAUCAGGGACGAUGUGUACAAAUUGUCCAAAUCAUGCUCACCUCCCCAAGUUAUACAUAUCAGAUACCUGGCUUCCAAAAUAAUAGUUUCACUCCUCUUUGAAGAGCUCGCGGCCAAUUAUCAUUCUUCUUAUCUCACUAGUACCGGCUCCAAUCUCAAACAGUUUUGCAUCUCUCAGCAAUCGGCCAGUUGGGUACUCAUUUAUGUAUCCGUUGCCACCAAGACACUGUUUUCACCUGAAGUGCAACCUGGGUUGCCCUUUCAGCAGCAAAGAGAAUCACACCAGCACAAUCCUUGCGGUCAACUUUACCAUUGUCACAGUCCCUAGCAACCGAGUAAACAAAUGACCUAAACAACAAAGAAAGCUUCAUUUCCUGGAUAUACCUGUAUGAACUGAAAUUCACCAAUUGGACGGCCAAAUUGCUCUCUUUGGCGAACAUAAGGAACAGCUACAUCAAGGCAUGCUUGCAUGAGGCCGAUAGGACCUGCAGCUAACACAAGUCUUUCUAGAUCAAGCCCUGACAUCAUGACAUAAACACCUUUCCCUUCUUCCCCGAGAACGUUUUCAUGGGGCACAAAACAAUUCUCGAACACAAGCUCACACGUGUCACUUCCUCUCAUGCCAAGCUUGUCCAACUUCUGUGCAUUCUUUACCCGGGCAUCCCCUUCUCAAUUAUGAACGCGGUUAUUCCUUUUGAUCCAGCAGCUAUAUCUGACUUGAGAGCAUUACCAGUGUCUGAGCAGAUGGCCCGUUGGUGCACCACAUCUUAUUC